rnacentral:tRNA from 1 species
GAGGGUAUAGCUCAGUGGUAGAGUACCUGCUUAGCAUGCACAAGCUGCUGGGUUCAAUCCCCAGUCCCUCU